ACGUCUACAUUAGAUACCCGCGUAGUCCCAGCCGUAAACUAUGCACGUUAGGUGUAUCGGUGACCACGAGUUACCGAGGUGCCGAAGGGAAACCGUGAAACGUGCCGCCUGGGAAGUACGGUCGCAAGGCUGAAACUUAAAGGAAUUGGCGGGGAGCACCACAACAGGUGGAGCCUGCGGUUUAAUUGGGCUCAACGCCGGGAAGCUCACCGGAUAGGACAGCAGAAUGAUUGCCGGGCUGAAGACCCUGCAUGACUAGCUG
rnacentral:rRNA from 1 species